rnacentral:rRNA from 1 species
UACGUAGGGUGCAAGCGUUGUCCGGAAUUAUUGGGCGUAAAGAGCUCGUAGGCGGUCUGUCGCGUCGGCUGUGAAAACUCGGGGCUCAACCCCGAGCCUGCAGUCGAUACGGGCAGACUAGAGUGCGGUAGGGGAGACUGGAAUUCCUGGUGUAGCGGUGAAAUGCGCAGAUAUCAGGAGGAACACCAAUAGCGAAGGCAGCUCGCUGGGACGUUACUGACACUGAGGCGCGAAAGCGUGGGGAGCGAACAGG